CUAUUAUUGAUGGAAAGUCACAUGUUGAAGGGCUUUGCUGACAUAUCAGAAGUAGCUUGAGCACUAGAAACAGUACAGGUAGUGCAGCUCUGCACUCGUGCCAACAUAGCUACAUUAUUCCCUGCUCUAUUUUAUAACACACCUAAU